CCCAACGUGGACAUCCGGAGAAGUUGCUCUCUCUCGGCUCUGUCCGUGUGGCGCAGGGGAGCGUAGGCCUCCGGGCUCGUGACGUACAGUCCCGUUCCACGACGUUGGAGAUCAAGCUGGGCCUCGAGUCUGCAGCCUGCAUAUUCCUACUGCUUCUCUGAGCCUCCGGGCGGUUACAGAGGAGAGAAACCAUGCAGGAAACAGCUCUGCCACUCGGCAUGGCGCAGGGGGUAGGGACAGGGGUGGAAAGGAACGGGAGGAGCUCUUGAGGCAUCCCUUACAGCACCUCUUUAAACGCCGUUUUUCUGUUGGCAGAUACAAGCAUCCAGACUUCGGAGUGCCGUUGAAGUCGGAAGAAUAACUGGAUCGGGUUAAAGUGCUGGAAUCCCAGUGUGGGAUUUAUUGGUGUUGCUGAACAGCGAAAGCUUUGCUGGCUUCUAAGAUGCUGACUUUGGGAUGGAUGGGGGAAAAGGGGUCGAUUCCUGAAUCCUAGAAGGAGGUGAAGGUCUUGUGUGAAAGAUGACUUGAUUAGUCUGAGGCCAGCUUUGGGAGGUGUGGGAAUCAAGGAAAGAGGAGAAACUGCAACGUGACAAAGGCCCUGGUUUAGACUCCUGACCACCUUCAUGGUGGCUGAUAAGGAGAUAAAAGAAUCUUCCUGUCUAGCAGGGUGAGUAUGGAGUGCAGCAGCCCCAUCAGUAGAGGGGAUAGCUGAGGUUCAGUGCUUGCAGUCAAAAGGGGCUGGAAGCAGGGGAAGAUUCCAGCAUUUAUGGCCUGAUGGCACCUGCUGAGUGCUGGGGAUUGCCUGGUAAAUGGCCUCUGCCUGCAAACCACGGCUGGGAGUGGUGGGAUACACCCCAGGAGAGCACAUGGUGGAAUUAGUAUGCAGGCCCCUAAGAGGCACCAGUGGCUGGCAGUGCUCUGGGUGGCAGAGGAGAGCAAGACAAAGGCCACAUGCUGUGUGUGGGCAUCAGCUGGGCCCUGCCCAACAGCCCCCAUCAGGGGGGCCAUCCUUGAUCCCAGCUGCUGCGGAAGAUGUGACUUGACCCGGUGUGGUGGGGAGCUGAUCCUGGAGGAGUGGCUCAGAGGCUGUGGGUGAGCAGCAAUUUCUGCAUCUGUGUAACCUGAAUAAAGGUGUGAAGUUGUGUGGAGAGCUGAAUAAA